UUACGACCGUAUCACGUUGAAACAUCGGUUCCUAUAGGAUCACUGAAUUUAAGCAACGUCGAUCCUGGUCAGUACCUAAAUGGGUGACCGUUUGGGAAUACCAGGGGUUGUAAG